AGCUAGGCUGUGUAGGUCAACUCUUCUCACAGCCCAGUCUGCUGAAGAGGGUAACUUACUCUCUGACGGAAUGGUUAAGCUCCUCCCCCACCCGCCAGAAGUCCUGCUCCCUGACUUUUCAGCUCCUGACCGGGCCUAUCAGCAGCCUCCUAAUUCGAUCACUGCUCACUCCAGGAAACAGUCACCAGGAAGGAGGUCCGGCGCAGGCGGGAAGCAGCGGCCGCGCAGUGCCCUGGUGCUGUGAACUUCCCCUGGCUCGCCAGAGCCCUGCAAAAAUAAAUCUCCGGAGAAAUAGAUUUUGAAGAGGAAUUCGGCACAUAGAUCUUCUGUCAGCGGAGCAGACUCUGCCUCAGCCGUUUUUCAGGCUCGCUGAGUAUCCAGAAAUACAUCUAUUUUUACAUGGCUCUCUAGCGAGAGUUCCUCUUGCCUGGAGGGGUAAGAGGCCGUGGAAGGAGUCAGAGGAUGGGAGAGGAGAGGGGUGCGGGCACUGACUGGAGAAGGACAGGGAGGUGACCGUGCAGUGCUGGUCUUCCCGGUUUUCCUGCAUCCUGCAGGACCUUGGGUUUGCCAACCAAGUUUGGGUUUGCCUCGUCGCUAUGAAGGCUCUGUGUGUCCCUUGGCCCACCGGACCCAUCUUAGUAACAGGCCUGAUGUCCCCGGAGAAGACAAUACACUACGGCAGUUUGGCGCGCGCGCGCACAAAGAGCUGCAGCACCGCCCGGGGCUCACUGUUUUGUUCUCGGCCUAGCUGUCGCGGUGAACAGCAGGAGCCAUGGACCAGAUGGCUGGAGGGAGGUGCGAGCGGAUCGCACUGGCAGGCAAUUAGGCCUCAAACAAUGGCCCGUGAAAUGUCAGAAGUGGCAAGGAAGGGUCGUGGUGGAACAGCGGGAUGACAACGUAAGGAUGGCGCCAGGAACCCCGGAGACAGUUCCUGCUUGCUCCCACAGGCCCCUCUGGCAGAGGGAACACUCAAUGACCCUUCUCCCCAAUGCCCACGCAGACUCCUCUGAAGAUAAAGAAAAGGCUGAGGGGAAGCUAUAGUGCAGAUGCCUAGCCCCACAUCAUAUUCUUAUUAGCGGAGGUUAUUACAAUAGUAAUCAGCGUGCUCCAGGCGCAAAUUGGGUUUUUUGCUCCACUGCCACCAAUUUAGAAAACCAUUAAUGGCAAGAUAAGGCCCCCGUGGCUCACACCGGGCCAAGCCUGGGAACCUGCAGCCAACUCUCUGCUCAUGAACCUACACGCCCAUGCUCCAGGGGGCGCUCGAGCAAGCAUCCUGGCUCUUCUGGGACGACAGAGAAGAAAAAGCCAACCGCUUUCUAGGAGGUGCUGUACCUGCGGGACCAUAGAACUUUCUCAAAUGUGAAUCCUAUACAACAGUCACUUGGAUGAGACAACCUCAUGGAACAAAACAUUAAAGCCAAGUUUGCCACUAGAGCCAGAGCGCCAUAUACUGUGCCCUUGAGUCCUGCUUCAAGCCAGUCUGCUAGAAACGCUUAGCACUCGCAUGAAGAUCAGAGGACUUCUCUCCUUCCACCAUGAGGGGCCAAGAGAUUGAACUCACGUUGUCAGGGUUUGGAGGCAAGAACCGUCAUGUUUGGCAGCAAAGACCUCUACCUACUGAGCCGUCACCAUAGCCCUGCUGAGAUAGUUUCAUAACGAUAAAUGCACUCUACUUUUUGAUGAUGUUCUCAGUUCCAAAAUUGUCUCCCUGUGUGCGUGUGUGUGCGCAUGUGUGUGCGCAUGUGUGUGCGUAUGUGUGUGUGUGUGUGUGUAUGUGUACUUACUCAUAUGUCUUUUUAUGUACAAAAGAUAGGUUCCUUCAUGUAUAGUUGGAGAAGGGCUGGGUGAUCUGACUGGGAGGAAAAGAAAGAAAACCAGGAGUCACGUCUCUUCUGCCCCCUUGUGGGAUCCUGGAUCAAACUCAGGUUGUCAGGACUGCAUGGCAGGGUCUACUUGCUGAGCUGCCUCACCAGUCCCCUUUCCUUUUUCAACAUGUAGAGGCCAAGUAUGUCCCUGGUUCUACACAGCAGACAAAGAGUUAAGAAGCAACAGCUAUACUGCAGUUAAGUCCUGCCUUUUGUUUGUUUGGUUGGUUGGUUUGGUUUUGGUUUGAGACAGCCUUUCUCUCUGUAGC